rnacentral:lncRNA from 1 species
GCUUCUCUAUUUUUUCAGAUACAGUAAACUAUCUCAAAAUUAAGGACCUUCUCCAUUUGUCGUGUCUGACUGUGAAGCCAAAGAUAAGCAGAAAAGGUAUUUCAUGUCUUUUUAACUCAAUUUGCUACUUUCGCAACUCUAUGCUUUGGCUUGUUUUGUUUGUCUUCAAAAAUACGUGCUUGUAAUAUUUUAGAGGGUAAAAUAGUUGAAGGUAUGGUUUUCAACGUAGUUAUUAUGUAUAGAAGAAUGCAAUUAUGCAGAAAUUUUGUAUCAAUUCAUUUAGAUGGAACACUAUUUAUGUUUUCAUUUGU